GCCCGGAUAGCUCAGUCGGUAAAGCAUCAGACUUUUAAUCUGAGGGUCC
rnacentral:tRNA from 1 species